rnacentral:rRNA from 1 species
CUUGGUGACUUUAGCGGAGUGGAACCACCCGUUCCCAUCCCGAACACGGAAGUGAAACGCUCCAGC